rnacentral:rRNA from 1 species
UUCGUACGGUACCGUCAGCCCCUACACGUAGGAGGGUUUCUUCUCGUACAAAAGAAGUUUACAACCCAUAGGGCCGUCAUCCUUCACGCGGCAUGGCUGGUUCAGGCUUUCGCCC